UUGGACCUCUGAGAUGUGGACUCGUAUCAGGACCUCCUUGGAAGCUCCGGAAUCAGUGUCAGAGCCUGGUGAGAAAGGAGAGAGUUCUACACUGGGCAAAGUUUUACCACACAGAUCACUGUCGCCGAGAACAACAGCCAACGGAAGGGAGUCUUGUCGCCAAACGAGGGCCUCGGAGGCUGCUGAAGCUGGGAAGGGGAAUCUAAGCCACCCUCCCCAUAGAAUAGGAUUGCACAUCUGCUGACUCCAGUGCAAGAAAAGAAUGUUCAGGACUAGCAAGUAAGACGCAUAGGAAGGAUUUUAUUAGACAGAAAUCCUAAAGUAUACACUCAAAGAAAUGGAGUGCAGGACCUCAACAAAGAGAGAAUUGUCUCCCGGAACUGGGAACACUGCUGCUUCUCUUCAGGGGGUGGAGACCCGGAAAAGUGCCCACCCUCUGAAUGAUGCUGGCUUAUAUGACAGGUAUGGGCCAGUUGUUUUCUUUUUUAAUGGAUAAUGUAAGCAUUCUUUGAAUUCUCCCAACUUGUCCCUUUAUCGUAGGAUCAGGUUCCUGCUCUUCCCUCAACUGAGCCAAUUUGUGAACUUUCAGUGUUCCUGAGGAAUUGGGGUGUCAUGAAUCUGGAAGGAAAGAAGCCUAAAUUUAACCCAGAAAAUACUGAUGUGGCCUCCUCAGUGACUUUGACUGGGGGACGGAAGUUGCAGUCUCCUUAAAAGUACCGUGUUUUGAGUUACGAUUUCUUUGUCUCCUUUCUUCCUUUUAUGUCUUCUGUCCUACCGGGGUAUCAUCAAGGCUGCUGCAGUGGAGAGGGUGCCCCAUGCUCCUGGACCUCCUACAAGCACACAGGCUUUCCCAGAACUCUGCAUCUCAAAGAGUUAGGCCAGGAGCCACACCAACUGUGAGCUGCAUCUGGGUGGGUGUUAGCUCCCCUGCGCUUCUAACCCUGUAUUUAUUCUUGGGCAAGGAGGC
rnacentral:lncRNA from 1 species